ACUGGGUCUAAUACCGGAUAUGACUCCUCAUCGCAUGGUGGGGGGUGGAAAGCUUUUUGUGGUUUUGGAUGGACUCGCGGCCUAUCAGCUUGUUGGUGGGGUAAUGGCCUACCAAGGCGACGACGGGUAGCCGGCCUGAGAGGGUGACCGGCCACACUGGGACUGAGACACGGCCCAGACUCCUACGGGAGGCAGCAGUGGGGAAUAUUGCACAAUGGGCGAAAGCCUGAUGCAGCGACGCCGCGUGAGGGAUGACGGCCUUCGGGUUGUAAACCUCUUUCAGUAGGGAAGAAGCCCUCUUUGGGGGUGACGGUACUUGCAGAAGAAGCGCCGGCUAACUACGUGCCAGCAGCCGCGGUAAUACGUAGGGCGCAAGCGUUAUCCGGGAAUUAUUGGGCGUAAAGAGCUCGUAGGCGGUUUGUCGCGUCUGCUGUGAAAGACCGGGGCUCAACUCCGGUUCUGCAGUGGGUACGGGCAGACUAGAGUGCAGUAGGGGAGACUGGAAUUCCUGGUGUAGCGGUGAAAUGCGCAGAUAUCAGGAGGAACACCGAUGGCGAAGGCAGGUCUCUGGGCUGUAACUGACGCUGAGGAGCGAAAGCAUGGGGAGCGAACAGGAUUAGAUACCCUGGUAGUCCAUGCCGUAAACGUUGGGCACUAGGUGUGGGGGACAUUCCACGUUUUCCGCGCCGUAGCUAACGCAUUAAGUGCCCCGCCUGGGGAGUACGGCCGCAAGGCUAAAACUCAAAGGAAUUGACGGGGGCCCGCACAAGCGGCGGAGCAUGCGGAUUAAUUCGAUGCAACGCGAAGAACCUUACCAAAGGCUUGACAUGGACCGGAAAGACCUGGAAACAGGUGCCCCGCUUGCGGCCGGUUUACAGGUGGUGCAUGGUUGUCGUCAGCUCGUGUCGUGAGAUGUUGGGUUAAGUCCCGCAACGAGCGCAACCCUCGUUCUAUGUUGCCAGCGGUUCGGCCGGGGACUCAUAGGAGACUGCCGGGGUCAACUCGGAGGAAGGUGGGGACGACGUCAAAUCAUCAUGCCCCUUAUGUCUUGGGCUUCACGCAUGCUACAAUGGCCGGUACAAAGGGUUGCGAUACUGUGAGGUGGAGCUAAUCCCAAAAAGCCGGUCUCAGUUCGGAUUGGGGUCUGCAACUCGACCCCAUGAAGUCGGAGUCGCUAGUAAUCGCAGAUCAGCAACGCUGCGGUGAAUACGUUCCCGGGCCUUGUACACACCGCCCGUCAAGUCACGAAAGUUGGUAACACCCGAAGCCGGUGGCCUAACCCUUGUGGGGGAGCCGUCGAAGUGACGCACAU
rnacentral:rRNA from 1 species